AUCAGCACACCAGCCGCUGAUUACGAGUCCUACUUAAGAUGGUGGAUCUGCUCUACUCGUCGCUGGAUCGUUGAGCCAUCAGCAUUUCCUCCGGACCCGUUCCCUGUGCACUGUGACUAAGCGUGAGCAAGAGUGGUAGUGGGAAGAAGAGGAGUUGUUUGUGUUCGCGAGAGCUGUGUGGAAAUCUUCCCUCCCUGGACUCCUGCCCCUUUCACUCCCGGACCCUGGAACCCCGACCCCUUUUCCCCAGACACCAUUGUGUAUAUAUAUUUCACUGUGGAGGACACUGUAAAUAAAUUCACUUUUGGUUUGAAGGAACUUGUGGUCUGCGCCUGAGUCUGCUUCGCUAGCCCUGACAUUAUUCAGCGGUGUGAAAGCUAUAACUUUAAUCUCAGCCAAACCGAUUUACUCAGGAACAAAUAAAACACCGAAAAAAGUCUAACAAUAACAUUUUUAAGUUAUAUAAGUGACUUAUAUAUCAUGUUUAACCUUAGUACCGAAAAACCGCAGGGGGUCUGAUGUUCUGGGAGUUCGCUGUUCUCAAACUCCCAGUCAGCUAUCGAGGUGGUGGGUAACAGACGUCUCUGAAAACAUCGGAAUUAGGGUUUGAAUUCUGGGAUAGGUUGUGCCACGAAGGACACACUCGACCCAUCCUUCAAAUUCGGGGAAAUGAAGGAUGCAUUUGUCUGAUUUGUCUUCGAAUUUGGGCAGCCUUCAUCGUGUCGCUGUGACAUAAUAGGCCUUCAAAUGUGGCCUCAGAAGGAUGCGGCCUAUGAAUUGGGACAUACCUAAUGUUUCCUUUACAGAUUAACAGAUUAGCAAAUCUCUUUUCUUUACUCUUUUCCACCGGUCUCCCCUCGUUCACAUACAUGUACUUCAACUUGCUACUACAGAAUUCAUGUAUUUUCUCUCCAGUGAAUAAAUCCUUCCUCUCACUGUAGAUCAUGUCUACAAACAUCACAGUCAGAGACAGACGCCUGCCUGCUCACCUGUCAACCUAUCCCCCACCACUGCAAA